AAUGAACGCUGGCGGUAGGCCUAACACAUGCCAGUCGAACGGCAGCACCGUAAGAGCUUGCUCUUACGUGUGUCGAGUGGCGGACUGUUGCGUUAUACAUCGGAAUCUACUUUUUCGUGGGUGAUAACGUAGGGAAACUUACGCUAAUACCGCAUACGACCUACAGGUGUGAGCAGGGGAUCUUCGGACCUUUCGCGAUUGUAUGAGCCGAUGUCGGCUUAGCUAGUUGGCGGGGUAAAGGGCCACCAAGGCGACGCUCGGUAGCUGGUCUGAGAGGAUGAUCAGCCACACUGGAAGUGAGACACGGUACAGACUCCUGCGGGAGGCAGCAGUGGGGAAUAUUGGACAAUGGGCGAAAGCCUGAUCCAGCAAUACCGCGUGGGGGAAGAAGGACUUCGGGUUGUAAAGUCCUUUUGUUGGGAAAGAAAAGAAGCAGGUUAAUACCCCGCGGUUAUGACGGUACCGAAAGAAUAAGCACCGGCUAACUUCGUG
rnacentral:rRNA from 1 species